AUGCUAAGUCAGGGAUGCGAAUUCUUGGGGGAAAAAAAUCAACUUAAUUCCAUGGAGUCUGGAGUCAGCUGUUAUCGAAACAAAAUGGAUGUCGUGCCCCCAGCGCCUCAUCUGGGGUGAGGGGAGAUCUCCAGUUCAAGAGGAACUCUAGAGAAAAUGCACAGUUCCAUUUCUCCAAUCGACCACAUCACGGGAAGUUUUGCUGUAUGGAUAUGAAAGGGCGUGACCUCAGCAUCAUCAGAGAAGCUCUGACUCUUCAUUGUACCCCCUCCAUGUGAGGCCACAGUUCCCGACUCUGGCUGGGGACCGCUUUUAAAAAAUCUAGAUGCUCAGCGCCCCUUCCACUCCAACCAGAGCUCUGUA